GGAUUCCCUUAGUAACUGCGAGUGAAGAGGGAAGAGCUCAAAUUUAAAAUCUGGCAGCGUGUUGCUGUCCGAGUUGUAUCCUAGAGAAGUGUAACCUGUGCUGGACCGUGUACAAGUGUCCUGGAAUGGAGCAUCAUAGAGGGUGAGAAUCCCGUCUUUGACAUGGACGACCAGUGCACUGUGGUUGUGCUCUCGACGAGUCGAGUUGUUUGGGAAUGCAGCUCUAAAUGGGUGGUAAAUUCCAUCUAAAGCUAAAUAUUGGCGAGAGACCGAUAGCGAACAAGUACCGUGAGGGAAAGAUGAAAAGAACUUUGGAAAGAGAGUUAAACAGUAUGUGAAAUUGUUGAAAGGGAAACGUUUGAAGUCAGUCAUGUUAUUCGGGGAUCAGUCAGACAAUGUUGUUUGGCGUACUUCCUGGUUGAUGGGCCAACCUCAGUUUUGACUGCCAGAGAAUGGUGAA
rnacentral:rRNA from 1 species